UGGAGUCACUGGGGGUACUUAGU
rnacentral:piRNA from 1 species